CGAGUCCGAGGAGCUAAGGCUCCAAAGUGAUGCGAGUCAGACUUCCCAGAAAAGCCCGAACCACGUUAAUUUCUAAUUACCUGUACCCGAAACCGACACAGGUAGGAAGGUAGAGAAUACUAAGGGGCGCGAGAUAACUCUCUCUAAGGAACUCGGCAAAAUUACCCCGUAACUUUGGGAGAAGGGGUGCCACCGCAAGGUGGUCGCAGUGAAGAGGCCCAGGCGACUGCUUACCAAAAACACAGGUCUCCGCCAAGUCGCAAGACGCAGUAUGGGGGCUGACGCCUGCCCAGUGCCGGAAGGUUAAGGAAGUUGGUUAGUUUCGACGAAGCUAGCGACCGAAGCCCCGGUGAACGGCGGCCGUAACUAUAACGGUCCUAAGGUAGCGAAAUUCCUUGUCGGGUAAGUUCCGACCCGCACGAAAGGCGUAACGAUCUGGGCACUGUCUCGGAGAGAGGCUCGGCGAAAUAGGAUUGUCUGUGAAGAUACGGACUACGUGCACCCGGACAGAAAGACCCUAUGAAGCUUUACUGUAGCUUGGUAUUGUGCUCGGGCUCGGAAUGCGCAGGAUAGGUGGGAGGCUUUGAUCCAUUGCUUGCGGGUGAUGGUGAGCCACUGGUGAGAUACCACUCUUUCCGAGCUAGAGUUCUAACCCUCGCCCGUUAUCCGGGGAGGGGACAGUAUCAGGUGGGCAGUUUGACUGGGGCGGUCGCCUCCUAAAAGGUAACGGAGGCGUGCAAAGGUUCCCUCAGGCUGGUUGGAAAUCAGCCGACGAGUGCAAAGGCAGAAGGGAGCUUGACUGUGAGACCUACAAGUCGAACAGGGACGAAAGUCGGCCUUAGUGAUCCGACGGUUCUGCGUGGAAGGGCCGUCGCUCAACGGAUAAAAGUUACUCUAGGAUAACAGGCUGAUCUCCCCCAAGAGUUCACAUCGACGGGGAGGUUUGGCACCUCGAUGUCGGCUCAUCGCAACCUGGGGCUGAAGUCGGUCCCAAGGGUUGGGCUGUUCGCCCAUUAAAGCGGUACGCGAGCUGGGUUCAGAACGUCGUGAGACAGUUCGGUCCAUAUCCGGUGCACGCGCAGGAAUAUUGAGAGGAUUUCUCCCUAGUACGAGAGGACCGGGAGGAACGCACCUCUGGUGUGCCAGUUAUCGUGCCAACGGUAAACGCUGGGUAGCCAUGUGCGGAGAGGAUAACCGCUGAAAGCAUCUAUGUGGGAAGCCCACCUCAAGAUGAGUAUUCCCAUGGCAAAAGCCAGUAAGGUCACGGGAAGAUUACCCGUUGAUAGGCUCUACGUGGAAGCGCAGCAAUGCGUGAAGCGGAGGAGUACUAAUAGACCGAGGGCUUGACC
rnacentral:rRNA from 1 species